GUGCCUUAAUAACAAACUUUUAUUCCAUCUGUAAAUAUGAAUAAAGUUGUUAAAUUACGAGCAUAGUUGGUUUAGGCAAAGAAAAAGACAGGAACUUUUUCGCUAGCCAUGAUUGGCUGAGAUAAUGAGUGGGCUGGACAUGCCGAGAGAUUGGUUUCAGAUUGGUCUGAGGUCUAUCAUCUUGUGUCGAUAAAAUGAGCUGCUCGUUAUGCGUAGAUAAUCCUUUCUACUGCAGUUUUUUUUUAAAGAUAAAACGUUAGCCAUGGAGAACUGCAAAUAUGUUGCUACUGCUCUCAAUAAUAUUGGUGCCCUGAAUUUAUCAGGAGCUAUCGUCAAAGGUCAGUGGGGAAAAAGUUGUGAUGGACUACUUUCUGGAGGACACGAUCAUGCCAUGUUUGUAUUUGUAUUUAUUAUGGAUCCCCAUUAGUUGCUGCCAAAGCAGCAGCUACCCUUCCUGGAGUCCAGCAAAGUUAAGGCAGUUUAUACAAUUUAAAAAACAUUACAAUACAUUCACAGAUUUCACAACACGCUGUGUGCCCUCAGGCCCCUACUCCACCACUACCACAUAUCUACAGUACUAAAUCCAUGUCUAUACAGUGUGUGUGUGUGUGUGUGUGUGUGUGUGUGUGUGUGUGUGCCAUAGGUGUGGACUCAAGUCACAAAUAUGAUGACUUUGACUUUAACACCAAUGACUCGUGACUUAACUUGGACUUGAGCCUUUUGACUCGAACUGACUUGAUACCCUCCCCAAGCCCAAAUAUAAAAAAUGAUGCUAUUAAAAGUGUGCAGCGCAUCAACUCUUCAUUUAACGGAUUACAGUUUGAAUCGGACAGCAGCCAAUCAAAUUGUGCCGGCUGAGAAAAAGUUGCACAUGGCAGUGCAGAGGAACGUCGGCAGAUGAAUUCAGAUGGAGCCCUUGGAAAGAUGAUACCCAAGAUUAUUAUUUUCGGAUAUAAAGACUACGCUGUAUCAACAAAAAGUGUAUUGCAACUUGCAAAACAGGCAGGAAGAAAAUGACAGACGGAGGGGCAACUUCGAACUUUGUUCGACAUUUGAAGCUGCGUAAAGAACGGUAAGUCGUGGCAAAUAUAGCCGAAAUCUAUAUCAAUCAUAACUUUGUAAGUGUAGCAUGUUGGCUAACGUAACGUUAAAUCAAUGAGCCUCCACACAGUCUGUGUGUGUGUGUGUGUUAAGGUUGGGUGAUUGUGUACAAGCCUACAUCGCCCGAUUUGCGAUAGUCGAUCGCUAUCGGGGGAUGUCUUUCUUAUGGCUACCCAUGUAUUUCCAUGGAAAUAUCAAGUUUAUUUGGAAAGUAAUAACAUGAUUUGCGUAAAUUUAAUAUACUAUUACUCUUGUUAAAAAUAUGAAAUGGUAUUACAUUUGGUAUAGAGCACAUUAUGACUUGUUUAGGACUCGAAACUCAAAGUUUAGGACUUGAGACUUGACUUCAGCCUUGACUCUGACUUGCCUGUCUUGACUAGUGACUUGAGUGCUAAGACUUGAGACUUACUCGUGACUUGUAAAACAAUGACUUGGUCCCACCUCUGGUCUGUGCCAAUGGUUGUGUUGCUUCACAGUCCCCGCUGUUCCAUAAGGUGUUUUUUGAAUCUGUUUUUAAAUUUAAUUUUACAGCUUUCUUCAGUUACUUGAUGUGGAAUAGAGUUCCAUCAAUAUGUUUUGACCAUAACAGUUAACAAUCUAGGGUUACUCCAAGCAGUUUAGUCAUCUCAACUUUCUCAAUGUCCACAUUAUUUAUUACAAGAUUUAGUUGAGGUUUAGGGUUUAGUGAGUGUUUUGUUCCAAAUACAAUGCUUUUAGUUUUAGAAAUAUUUAGGGCUAAGUUAUUCCUUGCCACCCACUCUGAAACUAACUGCAGUUCUUUGUUGAGUGUUGCAGUUAUUUCAGUCGCUGUAGUAGCUGACGUGUAUAGUGUUGAGUCAUCCGCAUACAUAGACACUCUGGCUUUACUCAAAGUCAGUGGCAUGUCAUUAGUAAAAAAAAUAAAAAGCAAGGGGACUAAACAGCUACCCUGGGGAAUUCCUGAUUCUACCUGGAUUAUUUUUGAGAGGCUUCCAUUAAAGAACACCCUCUGUGUUCAGUUAGACAAGUAACUCUUUAUCCACAUUAUAGCAGGGGAUGUAAAGCCAUAACACAUAUGUUUUUCCAGCAGCAGACUAUAAUCAAUAAUGUCAAAAGCUGCACUAAAGUCCAGCAUGACAGCCCCCCAAUAAUUUGAUUAUACAUUUUUCUCAGCCAACCAUCAGUAAUUUGUGUAAGUGCUGUGCUUGUUGACUAUGCUUCCCUAUAAGCAUGCUAAUCAAACACAAUUGUAUCUGGUCAAACACAAUUUUUGCAGAAGUUAACUAAGGGUUGGUAAAAGGCUGAUUGGUCAGCUAUUUGAGCCAGUAAAGGGGGCUUUACUAUUCUUGGGUAGCGGAAUGACUUUAGCUUCCCUCCAGGCCUGAGAGCACAGUAGGCUCUAGUAGGCUUAAAUUGAAGAUGUGGCAAAUAGGAGUGGCAAUAUCGCAUAAUACCUGUUGACUCUCUCUGACUCUGAAUAUGAAUCAGACAAUGAGGAGAUUCCUAAUUUAGGUACAAACUUUUUCAUUUAAGAAGACAUUGUAGAGUCUUCUGAUGACGGUGAUGGGGAAGAAACGGAGAUCAACAGUGUUGUUGUUGUCACGGAAAAAGUUGACCGAGUUUUGAAAUCAUUGGAACACAACGGGCCAAACAAGCAGUGCAAACUAAAUGAAAAUGACACAGGAUGUCUUAUUUAAUAAAAGGGGUUGCAGUCUGCUGUGAAGCUUUCAUCCAUGUAUACGGCAUCAGUAGAACACGCCUGACUCUCCUCCACCAGUCAUACAUUGAGAAUGGUCUAAUGCCUCCCAUCAAAAAGAGAGCUGGGCCAAGCAAGCAAAGACAGCAGCGCAGUCAUCAACUGCAUGCACCAUUUCUUUACCAACUACGGAGUUGGGGAAACACGUGUGGACCUGAAUUGUGAUAACUGCAGUGGACAAAACAAGAACAAGGUUGUGCUCUGGUAUUGUGCCUGGCGGACCAUGCACAAGCUCCACCACCGUCUGGACCUUCACUUCCUGAUCAUCCUCCAUCUGUGUCACUUCCUGAUCACAGGCCACACCAAGUUUUCCGCCGACUGGUGCUUCAGCCUCUUCAAGCAGCGCUUCAGAAAUACCAGAGUGAACAGUUUGUCUGAGAUGGUUGGUGUUGUGAAGGACAGCACUGUGACAGGGGUCAACAUCCCACAGCUAGUUGGACUGGAGGAUGCUUUGAUGCUCUGGAGCCUGGCCAAGGAGCGUUCGGACUGUCGGGACCAGGUUUUAGCUGCUGCACAACGCGGACAUCCUUCCUCCCAUAGAUGGUCUGUCUGUACAAGCACCACCUGGACUGGACACAGCUAGGCAAAUGUAUCUUUUUGAGAAGACCAGGGACUUUGUUUUUUUUUGCAACGAAGAGGCUAUGGACAUCACCAAAGACAAGGGCAGGAAAGAAACAGCCUCUCUCCUAACACACAUGCCAUACAUUGCUGCUACUAUUUGUUUUUUAUCCUGCUGCUGAGCCACUUUACCCCUGAUUGUAUGCAUAUAACUACCUCGUCCAUUAUCGAUAUUGUUCUUGUGCAUACUACUGUCCACUAUUUUAGUCAUAUUGACACUUUCUGAUUUUGCUACUAUGCAAAUAACCAUUUGACUGUAUCGUUUACACCUUCUGUAGAGACACAUCCACUUAGUAAGACUUAGCAAAAUAUUGAUAUAGAAAAUCAAUAUUGAUAUCUGUGGUCGUUACAUGAUUUUGUGACAUACCACAACAAUAUCAUGUGACCGUAUCACGUGUCUACCACAUGCAUCUGUUUAUGUACUGUGCAUGUGCACCUCACUCAGGUUUCAACUCAGGUUGCAUGGCUUUAACGUAUGUCAAACCAAAUCACAUUUUAUUGGUCACGUACACAUGGUUAGCAGAUGUUAUUGCGAGUUUAGCGAAAUGCUUAUAAUAUGGAAUACUAUGUGAUAAGUGCGUGUGUAACAGUAUAUAAAGUAUGCUAAUGUACUGGUGUGAAGGCAUUUGGGCAGGGGUGUAAAGUACUUUAAAGUACUAAUUAAGUAUUUUUGGGGGGGUAUCUGUACAUUACUUUACUAUUUAUAUUGUUGGCAACUUUUACUUUUACUUCACUACAUUCCAAAAGAAAAUAAUGUAUACAUUUUCCCUGACACCCAAAAGUACGCGUUACAUUUUGAAUGGAAAAUUGUCCAAUUCACACACUUAUCAAGAUAAGAUAAGAUGCAUCUGAUCUGGCAGACUCACUAAACACAAAUGCUUCGUUUGUAAAUUAUGUUUGAGUGUUGGAUUGUGCCCCUGGC